rnacentral:rRNA from 1 species
UAAACACGGACCAAGGAGUUUAACACGUGCGCGAGUCUAUGGGUACCUGCAGCCCUAAAGGCGAAAUGAAAUGUGAGCCCGCGGUUCCGCGGUGCAAGUCGUGAUCCCCGUUCCUCCGCGUUCGGGGCGCAACGGCGGCCCGUCCGUGCGGCUUCGUCCGCUGGGCGGAGCUUGAGCGCACGUGCUGACACCCGAAAGAUGGUGACCUAUGCCUGGGCAAGACGAGGCCAGAGGAAACUCUGGUGGAGGUCUGAAGCGAUUCUGACGUGCAAAUCGAUCGUCUGACCUGGGUAUAGGGGCGAAAGACCAAUCGAACCAUCUAGUAGCUG